rnacentral:rRNA from 1 species
GCAGCCGCCGCGGUAAUACGGAGGGUGCAAGCGUUAAUCGGAAUUACUGGGCGUAAAGCGCACGCAGGCGGUCUGACAAGUCAGAUGUGAAAUCCCCGGGCUUAACCUGGGAACUGCAUUUGAAACUGUCAGGCUGGAGUCUUGUAGAGGGGGGUGGAAUUCCAGGUGUAGCGGUGAAAUGCGUAGAGAUCUGGAGGAAUACCGGUGGCGAAGGCGGCCCCCUGGACAAAGACUGACGCUCAGGUGCGAAAGCGUGGGGAACAAACAGGAUUAGAUACCCCAGUAGUCCCUGUCUCUUAUAC